GGGGUGACGAGAUCCAAUCGAAGACUCCAGAAUCAAUCCUAACGAACCCUUUCACUGGACCGUGACCUUGUGUCAUGGCUGCAGGCUCGUAGACUCGCGCUGUGUCUUUUAUCAGGUGUCUCGUUUGGUCAAGAUUGGGGGUGCAAACCUUGAGGACUGUGUGAAAAAUGUGAUGAAAAGGUGCUGUACAGCAGUCAGACCCAGUAUCAUCAGAGGCUGAUAUAAAAAAAAAAAAAAAAACACACAUCAAGAACUGUCUCCAAUCUGCUCCUGACAGAUAUGGGGGUAUGGGACGCCAAAAGGGCCGAACAGCAAUUGAUCUGUGUUCAGAUUCAGAAUCUUAAUUUAUCCAUAAUUAUCUAUCAUUCAUAUGUCCAAAGUAUGUAGUAUAGCAACAUAGUACAGUAUAGAAACCUUCAGGGGAUACAAAAUCCAGAUUAUAUUUGUAUUGUAUUUUGAAUUGAAGCCUAUUAAAUAAAAUAUUUCUUAUUUUA